rnacentral:rRNA from 1 species
AUGGGCCCGCGUUCGAUUAGCUAGUUGGUGAGGUAACGGCCCACCAAGGCGACGAUCGGUAGCCGGACUGAGAGGUCGAUCGGCCACAUUGGGACUGAGACACGGCCCAGACUCCUACGGGAGGCAGCAGUGGGGAAUAUUGCGCAAUGGGGGAAACCCUGACGCAGCGACGCCGCGUGAAGGAAGAAGGCUUUCGGGUUGUAAACUUCUUUGAUUGGGGACGAAGAAAGUGACGGUACCCAAAAAACAAGCCACGGCUAACUACGUGCCAGCAGCCGCGGUAAUACGUAGGUGGCGAGCGUUGUCCGGAAUUACUGGGUGUAAAGGGCGUGUAGGCGGGAAGGCAAGUCAGGUGUGAAAUACCAUGGCUCAACUGUGGGGGUGCAUCUGAAACUGUCUUUCUUGAGUGCUGGAGAGGGAAGUGGAAUUCCUAGUGUAGCGGUGAAAUGCGUAGAUAUUAGGAGGAACACCAGUGGCGAAGGCGGCUUCCUGGACAGUAACUGACGCUGAGGCGCGAAAGCGUGGGGAGCGAACAGGAUUAGAUACCCUGGUAGUCCACGCCGUAAACGAUGGAUACUAGGUGUAGGGGGUAUCGACCCCUUCUGUGCCGGAGUUAACACAAUAAGUAUCCCACCUGGGGAAUACGACCGCAAGGUUGAAACUCAAAGGAAUUGACGGGGGCCCGCACAAGCAGUGGAGUAUGUGGUUUAAUUCGAAGCAACGCGAAGAACCUUACCAGGGCUUGACAUCCCUUGACGACACUAGAGAUAGUGUUUUCCUUCGGGACAAGGAGACAGGUGGUGCAUGGUUGUCGUCAGCUCGUGUCGUGAGAUGUUGGGUUAAGUCCCGCAACGAGCGCAACCCCUGUUGUUAGUUGCCAGCACGUUAUGGUGGGCAC